GUAACACAUCAGCUGUCACAGGAGGAGCAGCUGAAGGAGCCACUUGUUAGCAUGGUUCCUCCUCAGGAAAACAAGGAUGGCUUUUAACAAAGCAGAGCUAAGGAUGGGGUAAGGUGCUCUCAGCUGUGUGAUCAGCUAAGGGCCCAUAUCUCAUAACCCAAUUUGCAUUCAGGUGCUCCCAAGGAUGGAUGAGCCCCUUACAGUUGGGUAAGAGGUGGAGCCUCUGCAAAUGGUGGGGGAUAUAAAUGAGGGGCAUCAUCAAAGUGGGGAUAUCUGGUGUGUGAUUGCACUAAAGCUUUCUGGGCUGAUGGAGCAUCAGGACCUGCAGAGCAUCUUCCACCUGACUGAAGGAGAACCUGGCAACUUCCUCCCCUGCAGUACUGCACAGCUGUAAGGAAGCUGUGAUGGCUUUGAGGAAGGAGUUUGGGUUCUGCAGCUGAUGUUCCCCUACUCACCCACCUGCAUCCUGCUCCAUCUCCAACACAUGGAGGGGCUUUGUGCUGCUGUAGGAGCUGCUGCUGCACACAGAGUUCCUGAUCUGCAGCCAUGCCUGAGGAAUGGGGGUAUUCAUACUGAGGAAAUAUGAAGCCAGCCUGAAUUGCUGCUGUGAUCUUGCUGCCAUACCACGGUUCUUGUGCCAGCUGUAUGAUGUUGCACAGACGGGAAAGAGCCCUGCACGUGUGAAGCAUGCUGUUGCAAAUUGCAGCUGAAUGUGCUUUGAGCUCAACACAACCAAGCCAGCUCCUUGUACUGGACGAUCUGUCCUGCAGGUUGUUUGGUGCCCCCAAAGAUUCAGCUCCAGAAGCCUCCUUGGUUCAGUGCCUGGCAUCACUUACAGGGCAGAAAGCACCAUCAUUCAGCAUGGAGCAUGCAAGUGCCAUCUGGUGCAAGUGGGUUGGAGGGUGAAUUAAACUGCUCUCAGAGGAAGAAGAGGCUGCAGACAUGUGUUCAUCAGCUCCUGUGUCUCCAGCAGGUUGGAGGAACACUGGAGCACAUUUAAAGCAACAGCUUAAUUAAAUGGUGCUGCAGUUCCUACCUUGCCUCGGAAAACUGUUGGCUUCUUGCCUCUAACCCCGUGUUCUGAAAGGGAAGAACAAUCAUGCACAUAGCCAAAAAUCUAGGUUGCUGGCCAAAAGCAUCCCAGAGCAUCUGGCUUGACAUCAGAGGAAUCACUGCUUCUGCUGCUGACCACUCUCCAGUGCCUGUGAUCUCUGUAACUCUUGGUAUUGUCUGUGGGAGCAGAACACACAGCAAAGGCUGGUUAGCUAAGAGAGGCAGCUAUCUCCUCCUGCCCUGUCGGUCACACUGGUGCAUCUGCUCCCUACCCCAGAGCAGCUGCUGUGAGAGGAUGCCGUGCUGCUUGCAGGGGAUGUCCAGCUGUGAGCAGCCUUGGGAACCAGUGAAAAGCACUAGGCAGCUUUGAAAAACAUUUCAGCAUUGUACUUUGAGGACUUUCGGUCCUUGCUAUAGCGCUGUUCCCAAAGAUGAGCAUAGGGAACCAUGAGCACCUUUCUCCCUGUCUGUUUGCAGUUGUGGGAUCUGACCUACUUUUUGUAAUUGCAGCACAACAGCCUCCCUUGUUUUCUGACUUACAGGAGUAGCAGUGCCCUGUGCUGCAAUGAGAUGCACCUUAACAAAUCUGCCCCAAGGAUGGAAGGCAGUUACAGGGGAGGCUGAUGGCAUUGCUCAUGUGGUGAUCUCCCACUCCUCCAUGGCUCCUACAGCCACGUGCAUCUGUGCGUUAAUGGCUGUAGCUGUGCCUGAGGGCGCAUCUGUAUUUUGGGAUGCAGGAAUGAAGCAGCUUCUACACCAUGGUUUACAAGGACACACAGCUGGGAGCAUUCCCACAGAGACCUUUUGCUUUCCUGCUGCCUAUGCACUGUCUGAAGAGCAGCUACUGAGAGCCAGGGAGAGGCACCCAGGAUGUGCUGUGGGCUUUUGGAGGACCAAGUUCCAACAGCAAGGAAACAGCAGUGUACACUCUUUCCCCUUGUUAAUAUUUCUUCAAAAGAUGCUACAGCUGCCUGGGAUGCUCCUACACAAGAGCAAGUCAUGAGUGAUGGCUUUCUUUGAGCAAUAUAGACUGGGAGCUCAGUUAAAUGUAUCAAAUUAACUGUCAAAAUAAUCUUCCAGGAUGUGAUGAGCCCACAGAUUAAGCAGCAUGUUAUUCUUUCUUUGUGCUUUCUUUUUCUUAUCUUAGCAGAAGGGAUUUACUGUAGAUUCCAAAAUCCAUAUUUGAAAUGAAUUGCAAAUAGUUUCUUGUAGUCUUGGCCCAUAUGAAAAGGAUUAUUACCCAAAACAACACUUCUGUCAGGGGGAAUGUAGGUUAAAGAGAAAUGGGAAUGUAAAUAAAUGUGCAGGCUUUGCAGUGCAUUCUGCAGGGGGCAUG